UACGGGAGGCAGCAGUGGGGAAUAUUGCACAAUGGGCGAAAGCCUGAUGCAGCUAUGCCGCGUGUAUGAAGAAGGCCUUAGGGUUGUAAAGUACUUUCAUCGGGGAGGAAAAAACAAAACUAAUAAUUUUAUUUCUUGACGUUACCCGAAAAAGAAGCACCGGCUAACUCCGUGCCAGCAGCCGCGGUAAUACGGAGGGUGCUAGCGUUAAUCAGAAUUACUGGGCGUAAAGAGCGCGUAGGUGGUUUUUUUAAGUCAGAUGUGAAAUCCCUGGGCUUAACCUAGGAACUGCAUUUUGAAACUGAAAUACUAGAGUAUCGUAGAGGGAGGUAGAAUUCUAGGUGUAGCGGUGAAAUGCGUAGAUAUCUGGAGGAAUACCUGUGGCGAAAGCGGCCUCCUAAACGAAUACUGACACUGAGGGUGCGAAAGCGUGGGGAGCAAACAGGGAUUAGAUACC
rnacentral:rRNA from 1 species